rnacentral:rRNA from 1 species
AUUGAACGCUGGCGGAAUGCUUUACACAUGCAAGUCGAACGGCAGCACGGGGCAACCUGGUGGCGAGUGGCGAACGGGUGAGUAAUACAUCGGAACGUGCCCAAUCGUGGGGGAUAACGUAGCGAAAGUUACGCUAAUACCGCAUACGAUCUACGGAUGAAAGCGGGGGAUCGCAAGACCUCGCGCGAGUGGAGCGGCCGAUGUCAGAUUAGGUAGUUGGUGGGGUAAAGGCUCACCAAGCCAACGAUCUGUAGCUGGUCUGAGAGGACGACCAGCCACACUGGAACUGAGACACGGUCCAGACUCCUACGGGAGGCAGCAGUGGGGAAUUUUGGGACAAUGGGCGCAAGCCUGAUCCAGCCAUUCCGCGUGCAGGAUGAAGGCCUUCGGGUUGUAAACUGCUUUUGUACGGAACGAAACGGCGAGCUCUAAUACAGUUUGCUAAUGACGGUACCGUAAGAAUAAGCACCGGCUAACUACGUGCCAGCAGCCGCGGUAACG